rnacentral:rRNA from 1 species
GACGAACGCUGGCGGCGUGCUUAACACAUGCAAGUCGAACGGUGAAAGCGGAGCUUGCUCCGCUGGAUCAGUGGCGAACGGGUGAGUAACACGUGGGCAACCUGCCCCUCACUUCGGGAUAACUCCGGGAAACCGGGGCUAAUACCGGAUAUGACCUCCUUGGGCAUCCUUGGAGGUGGAAAGUUUUUCGGUGAGGGAUGGGCCCGCGGCCUAUCAGCUUGUUGGUGAGGUAGUGGCUCACCAAGGCGACGACGGGUAGCCGACCUGAGAGGGUGAUCGGCCACACGGGGACUGAGACACGGCCCAGACUCCUACGGGAGGCAGCAGUAGGGAAUCUUCCGCAAUGGACGAAAGUCCUACGGAGCAACGCCGCGUGAGUGAUGAAGACUUUCGGGUCGUAAAACUCUGUUGUUAGGGAAGAACAAGUGCUAGUUGAAUAAGCUGGCACCUUGACGGUACCUAACCAGAAAGCCACGGCUAACUACGUGCCAGCCGCCGCGGUAA